AUUAUACCGUGAAACUGCGAAUGGCUCAUUAAAUCAGUUAUCGUUUAUUUGAUAAUACCUUACUACCUGGAUAACCGUGGUAAUUCUAGAGCUAAUACAUGCUGAAAAUCCCGACUUCGGAGGGGAUGUGUUUAUUUGAUAAAAAACCAAUGCCCUUCGGGGCUCUUUGGUGAUUCAUGAUAACUUUACGGAUCGCAUAGCCUUGCGCUGGCGACGGUUCAUUCAAAUUUCUGCCCUAUCAACUUUCGAUGGUAAGGUAUUGGCUUACCAUGGUUUCAACGGGUAACGGGGAAUUAGGGUUCGAUUCCGGAGAGGGAGCCUGAGAAACGGCUACCACAUCCAAGGAAGGCAGCAGGCGCGCAAAUUACCCAAUCCCGACACGGGGAGGUAGUGACAAUAAAUACUGAUACAGGGCUCUUUUGGGUCUUGUAAUUGGAAUGAGUACAAUUUAAACCUCUUAACGAGGAACAAUUGGAGGGCAAGUCUGGUGCCAGCAGCCGCGUUAAUUCCAGCUCCAAUAGCGUAUAUUAAAGUUGUUGCAGUUAAAAAGCUCGUAGUUGAAACUUGGGCCUGGCUGGCGGGUCCGCCUCACCGCGUGCACUCGUCCGGCCGGGCCUUCCUUCUGAAGAACCUCAUGCCCUUCACUGGGCGUGUUGGGGAAUCAGGACUUUUACUUUGAAAAAAUUAGAGUGUUCAAAGCAGGCCUUUGCUCGAAUACGUUAGCAUGGAAUAAUAAAAUUGGGCGUGCGUUUCUAUUUUGUUGGUUUCUAGAGACGCCGCAAUGAUUAACAGGAACAGUCGGGGGCAUCAGUAUUCAGUUGUCAGAGGUGAAAUUCUUGGAUUUACUGAAGACUAACUACUGCGAAAGCAUUUGCCAAGGAUGUUUUCAUUAAUCAGUGAACGAAAGUUAGGGGAUCGAAGACGAUCAGAUACCGUCGUAGUCUUAACCGUAAACUAUGCCGACUAGGGAUCGGGCGAUGUUCUUUUUCUGACUCGCUCGGCACCUUACGAGAAAUCAAAGUUUUUGGGUUCUGGGGGGAUUAUGGUCGCAAGGCUGAAACUUAAAGAAAUUGACGGAAG
rnacentral:rRNA from 1 species